CCACGUGGUGGAGUUCAUGAUUGACAGGUGAGGAGACCAAUUGAAACGACAGAACUGCACCAGGUGACCUCAGGUGGGUGGUGCAGCUCAGGUUCACGGGGCGUUCACGUUAAGACGCACAGUCGGAAAUACCAGCUCUCUAUUUUCGGUAAAACUAAGAAAACUUGUUGACAAACUUUUAGGCUUUUGACCGUCUAAAAAAACACCAUAUACUUAUUUCUCCAAAUCAAUUUGCAGUUCAACCAAAGAAUUCAAAUUAUUUUUAUCCCUGUAUUUGAAUAUUUUGGUUGCGAGACUGAAGAUGUAAAAUUAUACAGUAAUAAUUACAACAACAAUAAUAAGUAUUAUGAUGAUGAUGAUGCACAUUAAUGUGUGAUAAGUUUACACUAUGUUCGCCCAAAGAGGUGUUUUUUCCUCUAGGGGGCAGAAAGACCCCAAAACAAAGUGGCAGCAUCCGACUUUGAGGGAAACUGUGUUUCACUGGUGACCUGCAGAAAAAAUAGAGAUUUCCCACAGUUUUAUAUGCUCCAGCUUUGGCAUCAAAGAAACAUUGAUGACUUCCAUGGAGCUGAUCAACUUGUGAGUCAGCUAAUAAAUCAAUGUUAUGUAUCAUUUUUUUUAUUAGGUGAUGAGAUGAGAAUUCAAACAUUAACGUCAAAUGUUUCACCACUGCUGAUUGUGUAGCUGGGUGUGGUCAGAAGAACAGUGUUUUGUUAAACCUGUAACCCAAACCAACAGGAAUGUCAUGAUGUCCUGGGGUACACCUGUACUGACAUGUACAUCACUGCAGCAAGUUUUUGUAAAGGGCAGCAGCAGUAGUUAACACUGUCACCUCACAACAAGAAGGAUGUUCUGGGUUUAAACCUGAAGGCCAGACGAGGCUUUCCAUGAGGAGUUCUCCCCGUGUCUGUGUGGGAUUCCUAAGGCACUCCGGCUUCCUCCCAUAGUCCAACGACAUGCAUCUUAAGUUCAAUGGAAACUGCCCGCAGGUGCAAAUGUGAGCGUGAAUGGUUAUCAAUCUUUGCAUGUUGACUCUGUGAUAUGUUGUCGACCUGUUCAGAGUGAACUCCACCUCACGCAAUGUCAGCUGGGAUUGGCUUCAUAAGUGGUGUAGAUAAUGGAUGGAUGGAUGGAUUUGUUUUCAUAUAUUAAACUCUGCAAAUUUACCUUUUGGCUAAAUCUGACCUCUUUACAUUAUGUUACUUGACAUCUUUUCCCUAAUAAACAAAUGAAUAACCAGAAUUUAAAUAUCGGAAACAUCUCUUAAGAGGAAGUGCAGGAUCAUUGGUCCCAGGCACUUUACUUGAUGUUAUAGAGACCAAGCGUCACAGAAAUAUAUGACAAUAAGUCACAGUUUCUGCCAAUUAUGAGCUUUAACAUUUGGACCUUUUCUCAAAUUUGACCCAGAGAAGUGAGUCACUUCGAUCCAUGUGCAUCUGAGACUCUCGAGUGAACAUUUGAACAUUGAAUUUUGGAAUACAAAUACGCUCUCUUUACUCAGAUCACAAUUUCAUAGUUUUAAUUGAGCUAUAGAAAAACUGUGUUUAUACACAACAGACAUAUCAGUGGCUUCAUCUGCUCAAAGAGGUGAAAAGAACCUCGCACAACAGCGAACGCAACCACCCUAGAUGGAGAAGUAGGACGUGUGUUGGUGUGAUUCUACAAAGGAUCAUGCUUCCUCCUUCGUUUUCUACGAGGCCUUAAUUUCAUAUUAUGCAUGGACAAAUGGGAUAUUCUAUGCUGUUACCUUGGAAACAGGCAUGUGUUAAGUCCCUGUGUGGAGAAGAGGGAGAGAAUGAUCCUUUAUGUGCCUGGUAAUGGCAAAAAAGCAGCAUGACUCUAAUGUGCUCUAAUGUGUAAUUUCAGUUUCACUGCUGGAAAAUGGUUACUGUGACUACAGAGGGGUUUCUCACAGGCACAGCAAAUGGAUAUGAGCACAAAGCCUCAAACCAAUUGGGCUCUUCGAAUCAGUAAUAUGCUUCAUAUGAUUCAGAGGAACCAUCAUUCAUCAUACUUUUCUCCUUUUCGCUGAACGAGGUUGCUGGGGCUUCAGGAGUGACUGUGCCGGGGUGCGAUUGUGUAAGGUGGCUGAGACGAAGAAGUUUUUACAAAACUGAUGGAGCAAACUGUAUCACAUUAACAAGAUAGUUUGUUCUUGAACACCUUUUCUCAUUUCAGCGCUAUAGCAACUAAAACUAAUUCUGGUUUCUGGUUUUGAAACUAGGUCUGCCUCUCUGACAUUUGAUCACGAAGUGUCUUUUUUUUAAAGUUAAGAACCAUUGUUUUGUUGGUUUUUGGUGAAAUGUAUUGACAGCAACUGGAUGGAGUGUCAUGUGAUGAAAAUGGUGCAGAUAUCCAAACUACUAAUGUGAUUUUCAUCUCCGUCAAGUUCUAAAACAACUCCUCAAUGAACCUGCUCCACACUGGAACCACAUGAUGAAUCCACACUAAUGCUUGUAUUUAGCUCUGCUACAGCCUCCCGGAGCUUCUGGCAUGACUGCAGACUCUAGCUCUUCGUGGUAGCUCCUAUUGUUUUGAAGGUGCUGUAUGUACGUUUUCUCGGUGUGGUUUCAUAUUGAACCAGGUGGUGGAGAUGGUCAGGACUUGGUGAUGGUCAUCACUUGCCAAGAGCAUCAGCUAUCUUUGUGUUUACAAGACAAAGAGGUAAUACUAUGGCAUCUGAGCAGAAACCUCUGCAGGGCAGACUGGAUGCUACGGUGAUGCCAUCAGAAGGCGACGAGUUGAACCGGUUUUGUUUUGUUGUUUUUUUAAACUGGACAUGGAAUUGGGGCUGUGGUCUAACAGAGCUUGUCCACUGCACGCGCACCUACACCUGCAACCAUGCACCGAUUGAACGGACCAGCCGUCAAUCACGCAUAACCACGCUUCUCUAAAUGACACCAUCAUUUUCUAAAUGAACAUCAUGAUGUAUUGAGGAAUUCAACCAUAAACUCUUCAGGGAAAUGUUUACUGACGUUAUCACACUCUUCAAAAAUAGAUUUUUAGUCUUACAGAGGCUCCUGAUAGUAAAUAACAGAAAUCUUUGUAACAUUCCAAUCUUUUUCCUGCCUCCCUUUGUUGUCAUCAAUAACAGCAUCUUCAUCUUCAUCAUCAUUCAAAUCUCUUAGAAAUAUUCAAUCCCAAUGUUUAUCUCACAUUUCACUGAAAAACACACUCAACACCUGUUGUUAUAUUAAUAUAUGUUUUAUUCUUCUCCAUUUUUAUUAUCAUCAUGUUUCAUUUUCAUAUUUGUAAAUCUUAAGGUCAUUUGUGCACGGACCUAUCAUCACGGCACACACAUUGGCACAACAAGAUUGGUCAGAAAUAGAUAAACUCUAAUCACACUUUAAUAGCACACAAUUUUGCAAGGACUCGGGAAAGACAUACUAUAACAAUAACAAAUUUGAUCAUUUUUUCCCCCCUCUAUUGAAAUCUGAAUUUAUUGUAUGAUGUGCCAAAAUAAAA